rnacentral:rRNA from 1 species
CCCUUCGAUGUUCUGGGCCGCACGCGCGCUACACUGAUGCAUUCAACGAGUCUAAAACCUGCUCUGAUAGGGGUGGGUAAUCUUUUGAAUGUGCAUCGUGAUUGGGAUAGAUGAUUGCAAUUUUUCAUCUUCAACGAGGAAUGCCUAGUAAACGCAAGUCAUCAGCUUGCAUUGAUUACGUCCCUGCCCUUUGUACACACCGCCCGUCGCUCCUACCGAUUGAAUGAUCCGAUGAAUAUCAUGGAUUGAGGAUGCAAGUAGGUUAGCCUAUCUUCAUCUUCGAGAAGUGAAGUAAAUCUUAUCAUUUAGAGGAAGGAGAAGUCGUAACA